rnacentral:misc_RNA from 1 species
CGCAUGUCCAUGCUUCAUUAUUCAAUCUCUGAAUGAUAAUUAUGACUAUGCAUGAGCAGCAUCAACAUGUUUGCCCUCUUUCGCCUCCCGUUCGGCUGCUCUUAGUUUACGCUGCUCCUCCUUAUAAAUACGGUUUCUUCUUUGGAACUCCUUGGAAUGGUGGAGGCACUCGAGGUAAUCUUCACGGAGUAGAGCACAGUCCUUUGGCUCUCGGCAGCGGGACAUACAAUCGCUAAAAUCAAUCCAGAAAUCGUAGCAUCGGCCCUUGUUCCCGGUGAUUCCCCACCCUGACGCCAUCUUCUGAAUCUCUCGAGGUUACCACUGAAUCGG